rnacentral:rRNA from 1 species
CUUAAAGGAAUUGACGGGGACCCGCACAAGCGGUGGAUGAUGUGGUUUAAUUCGAUGCAACGCGAAAAACCUUACCCACCUUUGACAUGUACGGAAUCCUUUAGAGAUAGAGGAGUGCUCGAAAGAGAACCGUAACACAGGUGCUGCAUGGCUGUCGUCAGCUCGUGUCGUGAGAUGUUGGGUUAAGUCCCGCAACGAGCGCAACCCUUGUCAUUAGUUGCUACAUUUGGUUGGGCACUCUAAUGAGACUGCCGGUGACAAACCGGAGGAAGGUGGGGAUGACGUCAAGUCCUCAUGGCCCUUAUAGGUGGGGCUACACACGUCAUACAAUGGAUGGUACAAAGGGUCGCCAACCCGCGAGGGGGAGCCAAUCCCAUAAAGCCAUUCGUAGUCCGGAUCGCAGUCUGCAACUCGACUGCGUGAAGUCGGAAUCGCUAGUAAUCGUGGAUCAGAAUGUCACGGUGAAUACGUUCCCGGGUCUUGUACACACCGCCCGUCACACCAUGGGAGCGGGUUCUGCCAGAAGUAGUUAGCCUAACCGCAAGGAGGGCGAUUACCACGGCAGGGUUCGUGACUGGGGUGAAGUYGUAUCAAGG